UUCUUGCUUCAACUCCCAGGAGCCCACGGGUGCCUUUCACCUGCUCCCACUCCCACCCAGGCUGCCUGGCUUGUCCUGGUGUGGAGGGGAAGGCUCUGGCCCAGAGCUGUGGAAUCGGUUCCCGAGGGCUGGAAGGAGCAGGCGGGAUGCAGGGGCUGCUGCCGGCUUUUCCUCUUGAAAAAUAAGCCAGUGCGUCAUCUCCAUUCUUUUAGCAGAAAGUGAGCCGGCUGUGGCCUCUGCCUGCCUUCACACGUGAGCUGGAGCAUUGGCUCUUCCCGGGUCUCCAGCCUGCUGGCAUCGGGCCUGAUUUGCCACCAUCAGCUCUCCCAGGCUGCAGCUUCCUGACUUACUGUGCGUCGGGGGACUCAGCCUCCACCACGUAUGAGCUGAUUCGUUGCACUAACUCUCUCUGUCUCCAAGGCCUGUUGAUUCCCAGUCUCUGGAGAGCCCUGAGUGGGUGACAGACAGCGGGGUCCUCACCGGAGCCAAGGAUCGUCCCAGCCGAGGGCGGAGUCCGGACUGAUGGGGAGGCUCAGGCCCUGACAAGGGCGGUGGCGGAAGCCGGGAGAGGCCGAAUCCGAUUAAAGUGCCACCAAGAGGCAGCGCUGACCUUUUGCUUUUAACCACUGACCCAGCGCCCGGGAGCUGGCGUGUCAGCUGGGACGGCGGCGCUGAUUUCACAGCGAUUACCCUUAGCCAGUGGAUAUUGGCUGUCCGCCAUGAGGAGGCGCCAGUGGACACUGGUCCCAGACUCAUGGGGUGAGGGAGGAAGGGGCCUAGUGGUGGCUGAGCCAUGACAUAUCUCCUGGGGAGGGCACCCACCGAAUGCCACCGCCACAGUGACUGCUGCUGCUACUGCAAUGACCACCACUGCUGCAUUACCACGGCUGCCACCACUGUUACUACCACCAGCAACACGACUGCCAUGAGUACUGCAGGAGCCCACUGAGCUGUUACAACCACCACCACCGCUGUUACUACCCCCACCUCCAUGACUGCCGUGAGUACUGCAGGAGCCCACUGAGCUGUUACAACCACCACCACUGCUGUUACUACCCCCACCUCCAUGACUGCCGUGAGUACUGCAGGAGCACCACUGAGCUGUUACCACCCCCACCACUGUUACUACCACCAGCAGCACGACUGCUGUGAGUACUGCAGGAGCACCACCGAGCUGUUACCACGGCCGCCACCACUGUUACUACCACCAGCAACAUGCCUGCCGUGAGUACUGCAGGAGCCCACUGAGCUGUUACCACGGCCACCACUGUUACCACCACCAGCAACACGACUGCCGUGAGUACUGCAGGAGCCCACUGAGCUGUUACCACGGCCACCACUGUUACUACCACCACCUCCAUGACAGCCGUGAGUACUGCAGGAGCCCACUGAGCUGUUACCAUGGCCGCCACCACUGUUACUACCACCAGCAGCACGACUGCCGUGAGUACUGCAGGAGCACCAUGAGCUAUUACCAAGCUUCUACAACUCCAAACACCCCACAACACUCAAAGCCUCAUUUUCCACCCUGAACAGUGUGGGUCUGUGAGACGAGCUCAGCCGCUGUGUCCGUUGCCGCCUGCAUGGGCUGGGUUGGCUGCUGCUGACACACGUGUGCUGUGUGUGAGUGUGCACGUGUGCACCACGGCUGUGCAGACAGGGCAUGGAACCUCGGGGCAAGAUCUGUUUCCUGGGAGAGAAGCACCCAGGCUCUGUGGGAUGCUGAGGGGAGGGAAGCAGGCAGUGUGUGUUCACAGGAGCGAAUUCUUCCCUACCUCCCUUUGUUCCCGAGUCCACUCAGAUUGAGUGCACACCCUGUGGGCCUGGGUGGCCCCAGUCACACCCCCAGCCCAGCAUCAGCCUGGGGGAGAGUCGUGGUUAACAGCACAAACUGUGAUCCCAGAUGGGCUCAAGUCCCAGCUCUGCCUCCCAUGAGCCGUGUGACCUUGGGAAGCCGACUUAAUCUUUCUGAGCUUCUGUUUUCUCAUCUGUAAAAUGGGGCAAAUGGCAGAUUCUCCCUCAUGAGGUCAGUGUGAGGGUCAUAAGCGCCAAGUGUAGCUAGCACCCAGGAAAUGUUUAUUACAUUAUCUCAGAAAAAUGCACCAGAAUUUAAAUAAUGCUGAUAAUAAAUAUGCAGUCAGUCA